CAACCCUCAAGCUCUGCUUGGUAUUGGGCGACGUCCGCUGUCGGACGCGCCUCGAAGACCUCGGCGACGGCGUCUCGGCCUCGAGCGUAGUAGUAAAACAUCUCGCUUUGGAGUGCUGGGCGACGGCUUGCCGGACAACCGACCUUUCGGUCCAUUUUUCCAAA
rnacentral:misc_RNA from 1 species